UAUGGGAUUAAAUACUGCAGUCUGGACCCUGAGGUUGCACUCUGGACUAUGACCCUGCACUGCCUUCUGGUAAGGAGUAGGAAACUCCAUGGAACAGGCUGGGGGAUCUGCAAGAGGCUGGAGGUUCUACAGGGUCAUGGAAUUGCCAUUCUUGAAGACUUUUAUGACCAGCACAUGAUGCUUUGCAUUUUUGAUGGAAUAGUGACAAUUGAGGAGAUGAUUUCUCACCUCCCAUCCAGCUCCUUAAGUCUACAAAUGGCCCAAAUUGGUUGAUUGGUUACUCCAGGAGACCCUAAAGAGUAUCUAGAAGCCACAGGUAAAAUAGAAAUUUAGAACUGUUAUAAAAAGAAAAACAAAAAAGGCUUCCAGGUGAGAAUACCUUCAUUGUUUUCAUUGUCUACUUUAAAUAUCGUAUGACUUCAUCCAGAUUCAUGGUGGACCUGCGGUGGAUUACAAAUGGCUGCAAAUUCUUUGACACUCCUUUCAUUGAGAGAUGAAGUCCAUUUUCUGGCCGUUGAAUCUGGGCUGGUUUGUGACAGCCUUGAUGAAUGGAGUAUGAGUGUAAGAGACGCCAUGCAUUUCUAGAUCUUCUGUCUAAGGGGACUGGUAGCAUCUGCCUUGGUCUCUUGGGAGCCCUGAGUCAGGAUGCAAGAAACCCAACCACCCAGAGGUCUCUAUGCUGUGAGAAGCUCAAGCCACAUGGGGAGAACUCGGAGGAGAAAACUCCAUGUGAAGAGAGAAGCCAAGGAACGUUGAGGUGCCACACGUGUGAGUGAAGAAACUAUCUUGUAGGUGGAUCAUCCUGUCCCAGCUGCCACAGCGGAAAAUAUGCAGAUCAGAGGGGGAGUGCCCAGCUGAGCUCUUCCUGCAUUCCUCAUGUACUAUACCAAAUAACAGCAAACAAGAAGGUUGUUUUAGGUCACUCAGUUUGUGGGUAAUGUGUUAGCCAGCAAUAGAGAAUCAGAACAAGUUUGCUUCUUUAGGAGACUAAUGAUACAGGGACCCCAGAUCUCAUUGUUAUGACUUCCCACUGCCACUUGCCUUCUUUUCUUUUCCCCUAUUUUUCACUCUCUCUCUUUACUCUUCAAGCUUUUACUCUCAUUGCAAACACAGCUCAAAACAUUUCCUCCCAUGAUUUUGCUUUUGUGUCAGUCUAUUGGAGUGUCUUCCGUUCUUCUCAUUGGAAGAUUUGCCUUUCUCACCACUUGUAGUUCCAGUUUUAUAUACUACAGUCUUACUAUAUUACCCCAGUAGGAUGAAUCAGAAUUUGUGGAAAAGAAAUUAUGGUUUUUUAAAAAAUUUUGCUUAUAAUACAGACAUUUUUAAAGGAAUGUGGUUUUUGCUUGUAGAUAACACAACAAUCCACACUAACUGCUAAGUGCUUUUAAGCUGGCAUUCGUCUCAGCCCGCUUUAAUGAACAGAUAACUCAUUUAUAAUUAGCAGUGCCAAUUAAUUGGCAUGCAAACAAUUAAGGUGAUUAAAGUGCUAAAGUUCUUAAGAACAGUUUUUCCUAAGUAGGUUAUAGACAAACCCUCCCUGACCCUGCAUCUUGUUUACAUCAUUAAAUUGCUGAGGAAGACUUUAUGUACAGAUAGCACAUUAGGAAAUUUUAACUCAGCCUUGGUCAGAUAGCCCUGAUUUUGAAUAAGUGAGUCCCAUCUAUGAAGAAUUUAUUGUGCUCUGAUUUUCCAAAUCAAUAGUUUUUUUUAAAAAAGUUUAAAUUAUGUACAUUUGUUGGCAUCCUGCCAACUCAUUCUCCUCUACAACAAUCACCACCCAAGGGCCUCUGCAAAUCUGAAGCACUCAAAAUCCCACCCAGAUCACUUUUCUGUGCUAGUUCUUACAUCUUUCUUAUAUCCUAGAAAAUGGAUAGAAGGCUGUGAGGUUUUAUUUUAGAUGGCUAUGACUUGCUUCUAAUAGAAUGUACCAGAAAUGACAUUGUGUGAUUUCUAAGGCUAAACCAAAAAAGGCAUUGCUGUUCCUGCCUGGUCUGCUUGGACACCUGCUUUUGAGGCUCUGGGCUGCCACGUUAAACUGUCGACCCCCUUGAGGCUGCCACUCUGUGAGGAAACCCAGGUCACAUGGAGGGGCCUAUAAAGAUGCUCUGGUUGACAGCUCCAGCUGGGAUCCCAGGUAGCAGCCAGCAUCAACACCAGACAUGAGUGAAAAUGCCCGAGGAUGGUUCCAGACCCCAGCCACUGAGUCACCUCCAGCCUUCAAGUCUUCCCAGCUGAGGCUCCAGACAUGCUGGAGCAGAGACAAGCCAUCUCUGCUGUGCUCAUUCCAAAUCUCCAACCCACAAAAGCUGGGAGCAUAAUAAAAUAGCUGC